AUUGAACGCUGGCGGCACGCCUAACACAUGCAAGUCGAGCGGCAGCGAGAGUAGUAGCAAUACUACUUGUCGGCGAGCGGCGGACGGGGGAGGAACACGUAGGAAUCUACCCAGAAGAGGGGGAUAACCAAGGGAAACUUUGGCUAAUACCGCAUAAUCUCGAGAGAGAAAAGCUGCCCGUAAGGGUGGCGCUUUUGGAGGAGCCUGCGUCCGAUUAGCUAGUUGGUAGGGUAAAGGCCUACCAAGGCGAUGAUCGGUAACUGGUCUGAGAGGACGACCAGUCACGCUGGGACUGAGACACGGCCCAGACUCCUACGGGAGGCAGCAGUGGGGAAUAUUGGACAAUGGGGGCAACCCUGAUCCAGCGAUGCCGCGUGAGUGAAGAAGGCCUUCGGGUCGUAAAGCUCUUUAGGUUGGGAAGAAGGGUGCGAGGGUAAUAUCCUUGUACUUUGACGGUACCGACAGAAUAAGCACCGGCAAACUCUGUGCCAGCCGCCGCAGUAA
rnacentral:rRNA from 1 species